rnacentral:rRNA from 1 species
AGUUAAUACCUUUGCUCAUUGACGUUACCCGCAGAAGAAGCACCGGCUAACUCCGUGCCAGCAGCCGCGGUAAUACGGAGGGUGCAAGCGUUAAUCGGAAUUACUGGGCGUAAAGCGCACGCAGGCGGUUUGUUAAGUCAGAUGUGAAAUCCCCGGGCUCAACCUGGGAACUGCAUCUGAUACUGGCAAGCUUGAGUCUCGUAGAGGGGGGUAGAAUUCCAGGUGUAGCGGUGAAAUGCGUAGAGAUCUGGAGGAAUACCGGUGGCGAAGGCGGCCCCCUGGACGAAGACUGACGCUCAGGUGCGAAAGCGUGGGGAGCAAACAGGAUU